rnacentral:rRNA from 1 species
AGAGUUUGAUCCUGGCUCAGGACGAACGCUGGCGGCGUGCUUAACACAUGCAAGUCGAACGAGAAUCUACUGAAAGAGUUUUCGGACAAUGGAAGUAGAGGAAAGUGGCGGACGGGUGAGUAACGCGUGAGGAACCUGCCUUGAAGAGGGGGACAACAGUUGGAAACGACUGCUAAUACCGCAUGACGCAUAGAGGUCGCAUGAUCUUUAUGCCAAAGAUUUAUCGCUUCAAGAUGGCCUCGCGUCUGAUUAGCUAGUUGGCGGGGUAACGGCCCACCAAGGCGACGAUCAGUAGCCGGACUGAGAGGUUGAACGGCCACAUUGGGACUGAGAUACGGCCCAGACUCCUACGGGAGGCAGCAGUGGGGAAUAUUGGGCAAUGGGCGCAAGCCUGACCCAGCAACGCCGCGUGAAGGAAGAAGGCUUUCGGGUUGUAAACUUCUUUUAAGAGGGAAGAGCAGAAGACGGUACCUCUAGAAUAAGCCACGGCUAACUACGUGCCAGCAGCCGCGGUAAUACGUAGGUGGCAAGCGUUGUCCGGAUUUACUGGGUGUAAAGGGCGUGCAGCCGGGUCUGCAAGUCAGAUGUGAAAUCCAUGGGCUCAACCCAUGAACUGCAUUUGAAACUGUAGAUCUUGAGUGUCGGAGGGGCAAUCGGAAUUCCUAGUGUAGCGGUGAAAUGCGUAGAUAUUAGGAGGAACACCAGUGGCGAAGGCGGAUUGCUGGACGAUAACUGACGGUGAGGCGCGAAAGUGUGGGGAGCAAACAGGAUUAGAUACCCUGGUAGUCCACACUGUAAACGAUGAAUACUAGGUGUGCGGGGACUGACCCCCUGCGUGCCGCAGUAAACACAAUAAGUAUUCCACCUGGGGAGUACGAUCGCAAGGUUGAAACUCAAAGGAAUUGACGGGGGCCCGCACAAGCGGUGGAUUAUGU